AUUGAACGCUGGCGGCAGGCCUAACACAUGCAGGUCGAGCGGAUGAAGGGAGCUUGCUCCUGGAUUCAGCGGCGGACGGGUGAGUAAUGCCUAGGAAUCUGCCUGGUAGUGGGGGAUAACGUCCGGAAACGGGCGCUAAUACCGCAUACGUCCUGAGGGAGAAAGUGGGGGAUCUUCGGACCUCACGCUAUCAGAUGAGCCUAGGUCGGAUUAGCUAGUUGGUGGGGUAAAGGCCUACCAAGGCGACGAUCCGUAACUGGUCUGAGAGGAUGAUCAGUCACACUGGAACUGAGACACGGUCCAGACUACUACGGGAGGCAGCAGUGGGGAAUAUUGGACAAUGGGCGAAAGCCUGAUCCAGCCAUGCCGCGUGUGUGAAGAAGGUCUUCGGAUUGUAAAGCACUUUAAGUUGGGAGGAAGGGCAGUAAGUUAAUACCUUGCUGUUUUGACGUUACCAACAGAAUAAGCACCGGCUAACUUCGUG
rnacentral:rRNA from 1 species